UGAUUCAAGUACAGAUAGAGGCAUUCUCCCUUCUACAACUAAUAACUUCUUUCCCUUGGAAGGAGGAGGACAAAAUAACAAAGGGAGCAGUACGCAUAUCCUUCCCUUAAAAAGAUAACUGAAAGACAAAAAAUUAACAACCAAAAUAGCCAGCCAUUAGCAUCAAAUGUCCAAACAUUGUCACAACCUACAUGACUGAGCUAUUCUCCUGCUCCAUAUCCUACUCGUCGUCGUCAUCUUCCUGCAAAGAAAUUGCGAACAACCCCAAAUUAGACCAACGCAAAAUUAUCAAUAACACAAACAUCAAUCAACAUUAAGCAAAUACUAACCUCC
rnacentral:lncRNA from 1 species